GAGUGAAAUAGAACCUGAAACCGUGUGCUUACAAGUAGUCAGAGCCCGUUAAUGGGUGAUGGCGUGCCUUUUGUAGAAUGAACCGGCGAGUUACGAUUUGAUGCAAGGUUAAGCAGUAAAUGUGGAGCCGUAGCGAAAGCGAGUCUGAAUAGGGCGUUUAGUAUUUGGUCGUAGACCCGAAACCAGGUGAUCUACCCUUGGUCAGGUUGAAGUUCAGGUAACACUGAAUGGAGGGCCGAACCGACUUACGUUGAAAAGUGAGCGGAUGAACUGAGGGUAGCGGAGAAAUUCCAAUCGAACCUGGAGAUAGCUGGUUCUCUCCGAAAUAGCUUUAGGGCUAGCCUCAAGUGAUGAUUAUUGGAGGUAGAGCACUGUUUGGACGAGGGGCCCCUCUCGGGUUACCGAAUUCAGACAAACUCCGAAUGCCAAUUAAUUUAACUUGGGAGUCAGAACAUGGGUGAUAAGGUCCGUGUUCGAAAGGGAAACAGCCCAGACCACCAGCUAAGGUCCCAAAAUAUAUGUUAAGUGGAAAAGGAUGUGGCGUUGCCCAGACAACUAGGAUGUUGGCUUAGAAGCAGCCAUCAUUUAAAGAGUGCGUAAUAGCUCACUAGUCGAGUGACACUGCGCCGAAAAUGUACCGGGGCUAAACAUAUUACCGAAGCUGUGGAUUGUCCUUUGGACAAUGGUAGGAGAGCGUUCUAAGGGCGUUGAAGCAUGAUCGUAAGGACAUGUGGAGCGCUUAGAAGUGAGAAUGCCGGUGUGAGUAGCGAAAGACGGGUGAGAAUCCCGUCCACCGAUUGACUAAGGUUUCCAGAGGAAGGCUCGUCCGCUCUGGGUUAGUCGGGUCCUAAGCUGAGGCCGACAGGCGUAGGCGAUGGAUAACAGGUUGAUAUUCCUGUACCACCUAUAAUCGUUUUAAUCGAUGGGGGGACGCAGUAGGAUAGGCGAAGCGUGCGAUUGGAUUGCACGUCUAAGCAGUAAGGCUGAGUAUUAGGCAAAUCCGGUACUCGUUAAGGCUGAGCUGUGAUGGGGAGAAGACAUUGAGUCUUCGAGUCGUUGAUUUCACACUGCCGAGAAAAGCCUCUAGAUAGAAAAUAGGUGCCCGUACCGCAAACCGACACAGGUAGUCAAGAUGAGAAUUCUAAGGUGAGCGAGCGAACUCUCGUUAAGGAACUCGGCAAAAUGACCCCGUAACUUCGGGAGAAGGGGUGCUCUUUAGGGUUAACGCCCAGAAGAGCCGCAGUGAAUAGGCCCAAGCGACUGUUUAUCAAAAACACAGGUCUCUGCUAAACCGUAAGGUGAUGUAUAGGGGCUGACGCCUGCCCGGUGCUGGAAGGUUAAGAGGAGUGGUUAGCUUCUGCGAAGCUACGAAUCGAAGCCCCAGUAAACGGCGGCCGUAACUAUAACGGUCCUAAGGUAGCGAAAUUCCUUGUCGGGUAAGUUCCGACCCGCACGAAAGGCGUAACGAUUUGGGCACUGUCUCAACGAGAGACUCGGUGAAAUCAUAGUACCUGUGAAGAUGCAGGUUACCCGCGACAGGACGGAAAGACCCCGUGGAGCUUUACUGUAGCCUGAUAUUGAAAUUCGGCACAGCUUGUACAGGAUAGGUAGGAGCCUUUGAAACGUGAGCGCUAGCUUACGUGGAGGCGCUGGUGGGAUACUACCCUAGCUGUGUUGGCUUUCUAACCCGCACCACUUAUCGUGGUGGGAGACAGUGUCAAGCGGGCAGUUUGACUGGGGCGGUCGCCUCCUAAAAGGUAACGGAGGCGCUCAAAGGUUCCCUCAGAAUGGUUGGAAAUCAUUCAUAGAGUGUAAAGGCAUAAGGGAGCUUGACUGCGAGACCUACAAGUCGAGCAGGGUCGAAAGACGGACUUAGUGAUCCGGUGGUUCCGCAUGGAAGGGCCAUCGCUCAACGGAUAAAAGCUACCCCGGGGAUAACAGGCUUAUCUCCCCCAAGAGUUCACAUCGACGGGGAGGUUUGGCACCUCGAUGUCGGCUCAUCGCAUCCUGGGGCUGUAGUCGGUCCCAAGGGUUGGGCUGUUCGCCCAUUAAAGCGGUACGCGAGCUGGGUUCAGAACGUCGUGAGACAGUUCGGUCCCUAUCCGUCGUGGGCGUAGGAAAUUUGAGAGGAGCUGUCCUUAGUACGAGAGGACCGGGAUGGACAUACCUCUGGUGUACCAGUUGUCGUGCCAACGGCAUAGCUGGGUAGCUAUGUGUGGACGGGAUAAGUGCUGAAAGCAUCUAAGCAUGAAGCCCCCCUCAAGAUGAGAUUUCCCAACUUCGGUUAUAAGAUCCCUCAAAGAUGAUGAGGUUAAUAGGUUCGAGGUGGAAGCAUGGUGACAUGUGGAGCUGACGAAUACUAAUCGAUCGAAGACUUAAUCAA
rnacentral:rRNA from 1 species